rnacentral:tRNA from 1 species
GGAGGUGUAGCUCAGUGGCAGAGCACGUGCUUAGCACGCACAAGGUCUUGGGUUCAAUCCCCAGGACCUCCU